rnacentral:rRNA from 1 species
CUCGCAGAUGAACGCUGGCGGCGUGCCUAAUACAUGCAAGUCGAACGAGUUCUCGUUGAUGAUCGGUGCUUGCACCGAGAUUCAACAUGGAACGAGUGGCGGACGGGUGAGUAACACGUGGGUAACCUGCCCUUAAGUGGGGGAUAACAUUUGGAAACAGAUGCUAAUACCGCAUAGAUCCAAGAACCGCAUGGUUCUUGGCUGAAAGAUGGCGUAAGCUAUCGCUUUUGGAUGGACCCGCGGCGUAUUAGCUAGUUGGUGAGGUAAUGGCUCACCAAGGCGAUGAUACGUAGCCGAACUGAGAGGUUGAUCGGCCACAUUGGGACUGAGACACGGCCCAAACUCCUACGGGAGGCAGCAGUAGGGAAUCUUCCACAAUGGACGCAAGUCUGAUGGAGCAACGCCGCGUGAGUGAAGAAGGCUUUCGGGUCGUAAAACUCUGUUGUUGGAGAAGAAUGGUCGGCAGAGUAACUGUUGUCGGCGUGACGGUAUCCAACCAGAAAGCCACGGCUAACUACGUGCCAGCAGCCGCGGUAAUACGUAGGUGGCAAGCGUUAUCCGGAUUUAUUGGGCGUAAAGCGAGCGCAGGCGGUUUUUUAAGUCUGAUGUGAAAGCCCUCGGCUUAACCGAGGAAGCGCAUCGGAAACUGGGAAACUUGAGUGCAGAAGAGGACAGUGGAACUCCAUGUGUAGCGGUGAAAUGCGUAGAUAUAUGGAAGAACACCAGUGGCGAAGGCGGCUGUCUGGUCUGUAACUGACGCUGAGGCUCGAAAGCAUGGGUAGCGAACAGGAUUAGAUACCCUGGUAGUCCAUGCCGUAAACGAUGAAUGCUAGGUGUUGGAGGGUUUCCGCCCUUCAGUGCCGCAGCUAACGCAUUAAGCAUCCGC